UGGAGGGCAAGUCUGGUGCCAGCAGCCGCGGUAAUUCCAGCUCCAAUAGCGUAUAUUAAAGUUGUUGCAGUUAAAAAGCUCGUAGUUGAACCUUGGGUCUGGCUGGCCGGUCCGCCUCGCCGCGAGUACUGGUCCGGCUGGACCUUUCCUUCUGGGGAACCCCAUGGCCUUCACUGGCUGUGGGGGGAACCGGGACUUUUACUGUGAAAAAAUUAGAGUGUUCAAAGCAGGCCUUUGCUCGAAUACAUUAGCAUGGAAUAAUAGAAUAGGACGUGUGGUUCUAUUUUGUUGGUUUCUAGGACCGCCGUAAUGAUUAAUAGGGAUAGUCGGGGGCGUCAGUAUUCAGCUGUCAGAGGUGAAAUUCUUGGAUUUGCUGAAGACUAACUACUGCGAAAGCAUUCGCCAAGGAUGUUUUCAUUAAUCAGGGAACGAAAGUUAGGGGAUCGAAGACGAUCAGAUACCGUCGUAGUCUUAACCAUAAACUAUGCCGACUAGGGAUCGGACGGGAUUCUAUAAUGACCCGUUCGGCGCCUUACGGGAAAC
rnacentral:rRNA from 1 species